GCGCGAUUAGCUCAGUGGUAGAGCGUCACAUUGACAUUGUGAAGGCCGCUGGUCCGAUCCCAGCAUCGCGCA
rnacentral:tRNA from 1 species